rnacentral:lncRNA from 1 species
AAACAAUGCCUUUAUUCAACUAGCCUCCCCAUUUUAAUCCUUUCAACCGAAACCUAACAUUCCUCUAAGAGCCGAUCUGCCACCAUGAACGACGACCAGCCCGUCCGAGCCUCAAAGUUAUUUUCAGCCUUAAGACCCCUUCUAUACUUCGAUUUCAAUGAAGAAGAAGAAGUUUCAUGGCGUACUUUCAAGGUUAAGUCUUAUUUCCUUCUUCCUUUUGGUUUUUUAAAUGCUAAACGAAUGACCAACAAAGAAAUAAUCGGCAGAAAAGAAACUUGAGUAAAGAAUCACCUUUAAGGAUUUUAAUAACUUUCUUUGUAUUCUAUGUGCGUGCGUAUGCGUAAGUCCUUUACAAAAAUGAAAUCGGCUCUUUUUAUAGCCGAAUAUAGGUAAAAAUAAUAAAAAGAAAAAUCUGAUUUUCCUUACUAUUUUCUGUUUUAUUUGCUGUGGCUAUUGUUAUUUGCUUCUUCUCGCAGGUUCCAUUGUACGAGGAGUGCGUACGGAGAAGAAGGCUAUUGACGCGACAAGGUCGUACGUGAGAAACCAUUUGUAAAAGCCAAGGCUGAUUGCAGCAUUGGUGUACUCUAGAAACUUCUAGGGUUUCUAGUGCUUUCACAGUGUUGGGCUUAUUUGGGCCAUUUACGAAUUGGGUUAGAUUAAAAGGUUUAGGUGUAAUGGGAUUUUGGGUUAGGGUCUUGGUGUAGGUUUAUUAAAUUUAAUAUUUGGGCCCUUAUUUUUGGAUUAAAUAAGUUGUAAAUGGACUUUUUUUAUCAGUGGACUUUUACUGUUUUUGGUUUUUUUACUUUUAUUUUGGUUUUGGUUUUUUUUAUGAGACUGGGCAAAUUGGGCAAAUUACAGCUGCCCCGCUUUGCUCAUUGUCGUGUAACAAGAAUAGAGCAAAUACUUCAAAUAAGGCCAAUUUUGCCUGUUUUUGCUAUAUUUUGUGCCCC